AUACGGGCGAGAGCUAUACUGCAGUCGUACGGACAGAAGGGAGCUUGCUCCCGGAUGCUAGCGGCGGACGGGUGAGUAACACGUGGGUAACCUGCCUGUAAGACUGGGAUAACUCCGGGAAACCGGAGCUAAUACCGGAUAGUUCCUUGAACCGCAUGGUUCAAGGAUGAAAGACGGUUUCGGCUGUCACUUACAGAUGGACCCGCGGCGCAUUAGCUAGUUGGUGAGGUAACGGCUCACCAAGGCGACGAUGCGUAGCCGACCUGAGAGGGUGAUCGGCCACACUGGGACUGAGACACGGCCCAGACUACUACGGGAGGCAGCAGUAGGGAAUCUUCCGCAAUGGACGAAAGUCUGACGGAGCAACGCCGCGUGAGUGAUGAAGGUUUUCGGAUCGUAAAGCUCUGUUGUUAGGGAAGAACAAGUGCAAGAGUAACUGCUUGCACCUUGACGGUACCUAACCAGAAAGCCACGGCUAACUACGUGCCAGCAGCCGCGGUAAUACGUAGGUGGCAAGCGUUGUCCGGAAUUAUUGGGCGUAAAGGGCUCGCAGGCGGUUUCUUAAGUCUGAUGUGAAAGCCCCCGGCUCAACCGGGGAGGGUCAUUGGAAACUGGGAAACUUGAGUGCAGAAGAGGAGAGUGGAAUUCCACGUGUAGCGGUGAAAUGCGUAGAGAUGUGGAGGAACACCAGUGGCGAAGGCGACUCUCUGGUCUGUAACUGACGCUGAGGAGCGAAAGCGUGGGGAGCGAACAGGAUUAGAUACCCUGGUAGUCCACGCCGUAAACGAUGAGUGCUAAGUGUUAGGGGGUUUCCGCCCCUUAGUGCUGCAGCUAACGCAUUAAGCACUCCGCCUGGGGAGUACGGUCGCAAGACUGAAACUCAAAGGAAUUGACGGGGGCCCGCACAAGCGGUGGAGCAUGUGGUUUAAUUCGAAGCAACGCGAAGAACCUUACCAGGUCUUGACAUCCUCUGACAACCCUAGAGAUAGGGCUUUCCCUUCGGGGACAGAGUGACAGGUGGUGCAUGGUUGUCGUCAGCUCGUGUCGUGAGAUGUUGGGUUAAGUCCCGCAACGAGCGCAACCCUUGAUCUUAGUUGCCAGCAUUCAGUUGGGCACUCUAAGGUGACUGCCGGUGACAAACCGGAGGAAGGUGGGGAUGACGUCAAAUCAUCAUGCCCCUUAUGACCUGGGCUACACACGUGCUACAAUGGACAGAACAAAGGGCUGCGAGACCGCAAGGUUUAGCCAAUCCCACAAAUCUGUUCUCAGUUCGGAUCGCAGUCUGCAACUCGACUGCGUGAAGCUGGAAUCGCUAGUAAUCGCGGAUCAGCAUGCCGCGGUGAAUACGUUCCCGGGCCUUGUACACACCGCCCGUCACACCACGAGAGUUUGCAACACCCGAAGUCGGUGAGGUAACCGUUAUGAGCCAGCCGCCGAUAGUGGGCCUGCAGUC
rnacentral:rRNA from 1 species